rnacentral:lncRNA from 1 species
CGCAGCUCUGCCACCAACAGCCAGAAGCAGUUAAAAAACUGUUCCUCUCAGCAUGCCCUGCAAGGCGCGCACCGCUGCUGUACCUCCCUUAACGUAUCCGUAACCUCCCUCAACGUAUCCGUACCUCCCUCAACGUAUCCAUACCUCCCUCAAGGUAUCCGUACCUUCCUCAAGCUAUCCGCACCACCCUCUCUUCCAUUUCAUGCGAAGAUUGUAGUCCCGCAGCCCUGCGACCAGCGGCCGGAAGCAGCUAAGAUGCUACUGCUCCCAGCAUGCCCCGCGAGGCGCGCACAGCACAGGCCCUCUCUCAAGGUCACCACCUCCACUCCCGUUGUAUGCUGGGAUUGUAGUCCGGCCGCCCUGUGACUAACGGCUGGAACCGCCUAAGACACCACCCCAGCCAGCAUGGCCGGCAGGAGCGCACCGCGCUGUCUCCCUCCAGGGAUCCGCACCGCCCUACAAUCCUGCUUUGUGCUGAGAUUGUAGUCCUGCAGGCGUACAACUAACAAGCUGGGUGCAGAUAAGAGACUACAGCUCCCCGCAUCCCAAGCAAAGGUCCCUCCUCUACGGAGCCCCUCCACGCGUCCACUGCGGUUCCGCCGUGCCAAGGGGAGCUUGGCUGUUCACGGGCCUCACCUGCUAGCGAGAAGAUAGCUUGGCCGGGCGGCUGAUCUCACCUUGUAAUUCUGACACUGUGUCUCCCGGGCUUGUCGGCUUCAUGACUUGUGCCCAAAGUUUGAUUUCUCGCAGACCAGGAGGACCCAUUGGACCCCCGGGCUGGCUGCAGGGCCCACACCUGGGUUAGACCUCGCACAGGGACGCUGCUGCCACUGUAAUAAAGCGUGCCUACACGCUUCUGAAACUGGUGUAGGAACAACCUCAGUUCUGUGAAAGGCGGACGCAGCAGGACAGAAUCUCCGUGGACAUCUGUCUGGAGGAGCAAUUUUACUGCGACAUUUUAAAGAAACAAAUUUAAUUGAUUUCCAAGGGUGUCCAUCGCGCUUCCUUCACUGCCUUGAUCAUGUCGGGGUCACCACCUGCGGGGGUUUGUCCUGCAGACCCUGACUCAACGACGGAUGAAUAAUGUACACUGACACAGAUCUUAUGCUUGUCAGUCCUGCUGAGCAUCCAGGCCACUUACAGACUCCAAGAAGAGUCCUGUCAGCCACGGCUCUGACUUGUUGGCCCUCCCGGCAUUUAUUUAGCACACAUUUAAUGACAGAAGUCUCAGGUAAACACCACUAGAAGGCUGGAAACACUCUUUUUGUAGAACAUACAAAUGGACAUUUCUAAGCACAUUGAGGCCUAUAAUGAAAAAUCAAAUAUCCCACAAUGAAAACUAGAAGGAAGCUAUCUGUGAUAAUGCUUUGUGGUGUAUGGAUUCAUCUCACUGACUGAAACCUGAGUUUUGAUUCACCAGGUUGGAAACCUUCUUUUUGUAAAACCUACAGUGGGACAUUUCUGAG